GUGACCUCAAAUCAGGUAGGACUACCCGCUGAACUUAAGCAUAUCAAUAAGCGGAGGAAAAGAAACUAACAAGGAUUCCCCUAGUAACUGCGAGUGAAGCGGGAAAAGCUCAAAUUUAAAAUCUGGCAGUCUUUUGGCUGUCCGAGUUGUAAUCUAGAGAAGUGUUAUCCGCGCUGGACCAUGUACAAGUCUCCUGGAAUGGAGCAUCAUAGAGGGUGAGAAUCCCGUCUUUGACAUGGACUUCCAGGGCUUUGUGAUGCGCUCUCAAAGAGUCGAGUUGUUUGGGAAUGCAGCUCAAAAUGGGUGGUAAAUUCCAUCUAAAGCUAAAUAUUGGCGAGAGACCGAUAGCGAACAAGUACCGUGAGGGAAAGAUGAAAAGAACUUUGGAAAGAGAGUUAAACAGUACGUGAAAUUGCUGAAAGGGAAACGCUUGAAGUCAGUCGCGUCGUCCAGGGAUCAACCUUGCUUUUGCUUGGUGCACUUCCUGGUUUGAUGGGUCAGCAUCAAUUUUGACUAUUGGAAAAAGGUUAAGGGAAUGUGGCAUCUUUGGAUGUGUUUAUAGCCCUUGGUCACAUACAAUGGUUGGGAUUGAGGAACUCAGCACGCCGCAAGGCCGGGUU
rnacentral:rRNA from 1 species